UACGUAGGGGGCAAGCGUUGUCCGGAUUUAUUGGGCGUAAAGAGCGUGUAGGCGGUUCGGUAGGUCCGUUGUGAAAACUCGAGGCUCAACCUCGAGACGCCGAUGGAAACCCCCUGGCUAGAGUCCGGAAGAGGAGAAUGGAAUUCCUGGUGUAGCGGUGAAAUGCGCAGAUAUCAGGAAGAACACCCGUGGCUAAGGCGGUUCUCUAGUACGGUACUGACGCUGAGACGCGAAAGCGUGGGGAGCGAACAGG
rnacentral:rRNA from 1 species